UACCUGCAGCUCAAGUGGUGGCCGCUAUUAUUGGGCCUAAAACGUCCGUAGCCGGUUUAAUAAAUGCCUGGGUAAAUCGUGUAGCUCAACUAUACGAAUUCCGGGUAGACUGUUAAGCUUGAGACCGGGAGAAGUUAGAGGUACUCCUGGGGUAGAGGUGAAAUUCUGUAAUCCUAGGGGGACCACCAGUGGCGAAGGCGUCUGACUAGAACGGGUCUGACGGUGAGGGACGAAGCCCUGGGGCGCAAACCGGAUUAGAUACCCGGGUAGUCCAGGGUGUAAACGCUGCUUGCUUGAUGUUGGUUGGGCUCCGAGCCCAAUCAGUGUCGGAGAGAAGUUGUUAAGCAAGCUGCCUGGGAAGUACGGUCGCAAGACUGAAACUUAAAGGAAUUGGCGGGGAGCACAGCAACGGGUGGAGCGUGCGGUUU
rnacentral:rRNA from 1 species